UGAGGACAGGGCACCCAUCCCGCGUAGCCUGACCCCUACCUGCUCCUGUUGCUUCACCACAAGGCCAGCAAGUCGAGGGUCUCCACGGCACGGGGUGGUCGGCCAGAGGCGUGUAGGCAGAGUCGCGGGACGCAGCGGGAAGAGAAGCACACAAGAGGAACUCUUCCCUCUGCUCCAAGUCCUUCUGGAGACAGUCGGGCCUGGCUUCCGGGUCAGGUGGGGGUCACGAAAAAGGGGCGGGGCAUCCGGGGGCAGGUCUCCAGAGGGAGGAGGCGGCUCAGUCCUCCAGUUAGAGAUGGGGUCUUGGGUCCCCUGCCCAGGGACCCGCUUCCAGGGCUCCCCCAGGACCUCGUGGAGACCCCGCAGGGCGCCUGCUCGGGAGUCUGUCUCUCAAUGGCCCGGAGACUGCGGAGUUUGCCCAGUGGGCGCAGCCCUAUCCACUCCAGCCCAGGGGUCCCCAGAAGAGACAGGGCUGCCACGCAGGCGCUGGGCACGAUAGUUUAAAGGAAAAUGCGCAAAUGGGCGAAGACGGGCACCAAGGCCAGAGAGGAGGACUCCAUCGCGGGGCGGAAAAAAGGCGGCGGUGGCCUCACCGGGCUGAGGAAAGAGGCGGGAGCUGCUUGCGCAGGCGCGUUUUGGAUGCCUUAGGCUAUCUGCGCCUCAUAUCCAGGACUGCCCUUGGCCAAAUUGUAAGUCAAGACAGUUGCCAUCUAAAGAUACAUUUAAAGCUUGCCCUUCCUUUGGGAGAACAUAUGAGGUGACAUUACCUCAGAGAACAAAGAACCCUGGGUUUGUCCUGCCUCUCGUUUGGCCUUGCAUAAGAAGACUAAACUCAGGAUGUUUUUGGGGCCGUUGACAAGCUAGCCACUUUUGGAGUAAGACCAGAGCCAGAACUCUGACUUCCCAGACCUAUGGUGAUCCUUCCUCAGUGAAGACAGAUAAUGAGGUGGAUGGAAGAAUUGAAUCCUUAAGAAACGUCGCCAGGAGCCUUGCCUACAAGCUGCUGCCUUUGAGAAUUGUUGCAAGCCCUUAAAAAAGAGUGACCAGGAUGCAUUCCAUUCCUUGUGAAUUUCUUAGUUUAUGAGAAGAACACAAUUAGGAAGAAAUAGAGAAAAUUGAGGGAGGCUACAUCAUUGGCCGGCUAAUUGUCACAGGCAGCAUGAGAGUCCCAUGCCUGCAGCUUUCAGGCCAGCGGCUACCCUUACGUCACACUAUUCCCACAGUGGGAGGGAGAAGAGAGCAUCAGAGGAUAUGGUAUCUCCUGGGAGAGAGAGAACUUUGCCAAAGACAGCAUUUCUCCAUCUCCCCCCGUGUGCCAGGCCUGGCCAGCCUGUCUGAAGAUCCUAAGCUACAUUGACAUCAAGCACACUUUGCCCUGCCCCUGGUGGGAUGAGAGCUCUCGCGGUCUCCUGACAGUCCUAGGCGUCUGCCCUCCGAUGUGGCCCACAGAAGGGAAACACCCAGCAGGGUGGCAGCCGCUCCCGCUGGCACUGACAUAGUUCUUG
rnacentral:lncRNA from 1 species